UACGGAGGGUGCAAGCGUUAUCCGGAAUUACUGGGUUUAAAGGGUGCGUAGGCGGCUUAGUAAGUCAGGGGUGAAAGCCCACCGCUCAACGGUGGAAUUGCCUUUGAUACUGCUGAGCUUGAAUUAGGUUGAGGUCGGCGGAACGUGACAUGUAGCGGUGAAAUGCAUAGAUAUGUCAUAGAACACCAAUUGCGAAGGCAGCUGGCUAGACCUGAAUUGACGCUGAGGCACGAAAGCGUGGGGAGCGAACAGG
rnacentral:rRNA from 1 species